CAGAUCAAGUGUUUUCACAAGCAAGACUGUGAUGUAUAUUACUGACCUGGAGCAGAAACAGAAGUCAUAUAGACCCUUCUGGACAUAGUCUGAUGCAACUGAGACAGGUCAACCCAGACAAUGAUAAAUCUACAUUUUUAAAAGGAGAGACCUGUAGCAAGAAAAAACACCUGGCUAUUCAGUCUGUUCUCAGUGACCGAGCAGCAGAAAGCAGAGGAUGAUUUGGGACUAAAGGAUGUUCCUGAAGGUGUAACAAUACCCCAGGUGUGUCUCUCAAAGGUGCAUCUCACUGAAUCCAGGGUCAAGGCAUCAAGAGCCAGACCUAAAAUUCAUGAAGACUCCCACUGAUUACCAUGGACUUUAAAUCCACUCCUGAUGCUCCUUAAAACAGUAUCAUGAAGAGAUUAAUAAACUAGAAAUGAUGCUAAUGAAAAUGAAUGCAAGUCUCACCAGAGAAGAAGCUUAAGUUUCUUAUCAGAAAAGAAUAACUCACUUUGUAAAAUUGUAGGCCAUGUUUGCUCACACUGUGCCUGUUUGUAUGUAUAUAUAUGUGUGUGUAUAAAUAAUACACAGAAAUAAAUACAUAGAGAUACAGAUAUAAAUUUGUGA